CCCCUUACGGUAGACAUGCAAAGGAAUAUGCAACUAGAUGGUGGCUAUAAAAGGCCUCGAACUCUCUCUCAACAACCACAAUAACCUUAAAACACCUUGGGCCUAUUAGAACCUUGGCUAUGUCAUCUCCAAAAUUCUUCUCCACCCUUCUUCUAUUUCUAAUCCUUUCAUUUCUUCUUGCCUUGGCAUCAGCUUCACUUGCAUCCCAAGGGAGGGCCCUCCUCCAGUGGAAAGCCAGCCUCCAGAGCCAAGGAUCACUUGAAUCUUGGAACCUCGACACAAGUCCAUGCAACUGGACUGGAAUCGCAUGCAACAUCACACGUCGAGGCCGAUAUGUGAUCAGGGAGGUGAAUCUGGCCCAUAUGGGUCUGGCAGGAACGCUAAAUGCUUUCAACUUCUCCGCCCUGUCAUCACUUACCAGUCUCAACCUCACGUUCAAUGAGCUCUAUGGAAGCAUUCCUCCCACCAUAUCUGCUCUUUCGAAGCUCACCUCUCUUGAUCUUUGCACUAAUAACUUUGCAGGGAUAAUUCCACUACAGAUCAUUUCUCUGACAAAGCUCAACUCUUUCAAUCUUAGCGAGAAUCAGAUAAGUGGUUCCAUCCCUCCUUGGCUAAGUAAUAUGACAGGGCUUAACUUCUUAUACCUACACCAGAAUAACCUUUCAGGUACCAUCCCUAAGGAGUUAGGAAGGCUUGGGAAUCUCUUGGAGUUGAAAAUCUACACCAACCAUAUAACAGGUUCCAUCCCUCUCACUUUGGGAAAUUUAACCCGGCUUCAAGUAUUGGAUUGCUCCACCAACGGGAUAUCUGGCUCCAUCCCUCCCGAAUUAGGGAAUCUCGUAAACCUAGUUUAUUUAGAGAUGAGCAAUAACAGUCUGACAGGUUUCAUCCCUCUUAGCUUAGGAAACUGGACCAAGCUUAACUGGUUCAAUCUUUGGAAUAAUCAUCUCUCUGGCUCCAUUCCUUCUGAAAUAGGAAAUCUAGUGGAGUUAACUAUGCUAGAACUCUCAACAAACAAUUUAACAGGUUCCAUCCCUACUAGUAUCAGAAAUUUAACCAAGCUUGAAACCUUGAACCUCUUUAAAAAUCAGAUCUCUGGAUCAAUUCCUCAUGAAAUACAAGAUCUGGUAAGCUUGAGAGAUUUGAAAAUAUAUGUCAACCUUUUAGAUGGUUCAAUCCCUGCUAGUAUCGGAAAUUUAACCAAGCUUGAAAUCUUGUCCCUCCAUGAAAAUCAAAUCUCUGGCUCAAUCCCUCCAUCUCUUGGAAGCUUAACCAACCUUACUGAUUUGCGCUUAUUCAACAAUCAACUAUCUGGUUCUUUGCCUCAGGAAUUUAAUAAUAUUACAAAUUUGAAAGUUCUCCAAUUGGGGUACAACAGUUUUUCUGGCCAUUUACCCCAUGACAUAUGCAAAGGAGGAGUUCUAUAUAUUCUUUCUUUGAGCAACAACUAUUUUGAAGGUCCGAUUCCCAAAAGCUUGAAAAACUGCACAAGCCUAGUCGGAGUCGGACUCAAGCAGAACCAACUAUCUGGGGAUAUAUCUGAAAAUCUUGGAGUGUAUCCACAUCUCUCGUACUUUGAUUUAAGCUUCAACAAUCUGUCUGGUAAGCUCUCACCAAACUGGGGAGGAUGUCAUAAUUUGUCGCUCUUAAAAAUCUCCAGCAACAAGGUUACAGGAAGCAUACCAGAAGAACUCGGAAAGUUGACUCGACUACAAAAACUUGACCUUUCUUCGAACUAUCUAUCAGGAGAGAUUCCAAAGGAUCUGAGCAAGUUAACUAAUCUAUAUAACUUGACUUUGAGCAAUAACCAACUUGUUGGGGAGGUAUAUCCAGAAUUCGGAGAACUAUCUAAUUUGGAGAUUCUUGAUCUGUCAGCAAAUCAACUAAGAGGAAGGGUACCAGAACAAUUAGGUAACUGCAUGAAACUUUAUUCGCUGAAGCUUGGAAACAAUCUUUUUAAUGGAAGCAUUCCCUUUCAAAUUGGAAAUCUAGUAAACCUACAAGUCUUCCUAGAUCUAAGCCACAACUCAUUUACUGGAGAGAUACCAUCACAAUUUGGCAAACUGGAUAAGCUAGAAGUUCUGAAUCUAUCACACAAUGAGCUGACCGGUCAUGUUCCACCUUCUUUGAGUGAUAUGAUAAGUUUGUUAUCUGUAGACUUAUCAUACAAUGAAUUAGAAGGCCCACUGCAAAACAGCAGAAUUUUUCAGAAUGCUCCAGUGGAGUGGUUCGCCCACAACAAGGGCUUGUGUGGUGCAGUGAAAGGUUUGCCUUCAUGUGGCUCCCAUACAACCAGCAAAGAUGAUUCAAAUAAGCACCACAAACUUCUCUUGUUAAUUACUGUUCCUAGUUUCUUAUUUCUAUUUGUUGUAUUUGCUUUGCUAAUUCUGUGGAAGAAAUGUACGAGAAAUGAUGCAAGUAUUGAAGAAGGUGGAUUCUCUAUUUGGAACUUCAAUGGAGAAAAUGCAUACAAUGGCAUCAUUCAAGCAACAGAGAAUUUUGAUGCCAAGUACUGCAUUGGCACUGGAGCAUUUUCUAAUGUUUACAAAGCAUUAUUGCGCGGCAAGUUGGUAGCUGUGAAGAAAUUUCAUCCAUUAGAAAUUGAAGACUCGCCAAGCAAGCAAACUUUUUGGAAUGAAAUACGGGCACUGACCCAGAUCCAACAUCGGAAUAUUGUGAAGCUUUAUGGUUUUUGCUCCAAUGGUCGACAUAAAUUUCUUGUUUGUGAAUACAUGGAGAGAGGAAGCUUGGCAAAUAUUCUCCGAAGUGAAGGUGCCGCUGAAUUGGAUUGGUCUAAGAGAGUGGAUGCUGUAAAACAUAUUGCUCAUGCUCUAUCAUACAUGCACCAUGAUUGUGCUCCGCCAUUAGUGCACCGAGACAUAACAAGCAAUAAUAUUCUACUUGAUUCAGAAUACAAGGCUUGUAUUUCGGACUUCGGUAUUGCUAGACUUCUACAGCCUGAUUCAUCAAACUGGAGUAUCCUUGCAGGCACACGAGGAUAUUUGGCCCCAGAGCUUGCAUACACAAUGAGGGUUACUGAGAAAUGUGAUGUAUAUAGUUUUGGAGUAGUUGCACUUGAGAUUGUAAUGGGAAAGCAUCCAGGAGAUCUCAUCUCUACUUUAUCUUCUCCGAUCAGUGAAAACACCUCUCUGAAAGAUAUAUUAGACCCGCGACUACCACCUCUGACAACUCAAGCUGCAAAUGAGUUAGUUGCAAUAGUUAUGACAGCAUUUCAGUGUUUAGAUAACAACCCGCAUUCUCGUCCGACGAUGCGAAAUGUAUCUCAACAGCUAUCUACCAUCGGGGCACGACCAAACUCUCAACCUUUGGACAUGAUUAAGUUAUAUCACCUAAUCCAUGUCAAGAAUGAGGAAGCCAGUUGAAAAUAUUCUGGUAGAAGGUGGCAGGAGUGAGGAAAUACAGAGUUGGGAGCAAUCGAUAUUUGCAAAACAAGAAAGUGCAAUAUAUUCCGUCAAAAGAAAACAGUCUUUGCCUGCUUGAUACGGGAACAAAUUUAUUGGCCUGGUUUGUUUGUGGCUACGGGAACAAAUUUCUGCAUAUUCUUCAUUAGCUGAGAAGCUGCAAGAAGCUCGCAACUCAUGGCAUUCUAGAUGUUGGGGUUUAAAGGUUGCUAUAUAUCUAUUGUCAGUGAUGGCUCCAUUCAUCAUCCCUUCACGUUUCAUCGAAUUAUAUGAAUUUGAAUAUCUUAAUUUUCUGUCAACUGCCUCCACCAACUGUGAAGUCCUGAAAAUUUGUUGCAUAGAAUGGGAACAAAAGCGGUGGUGGGUGCAGGAACAGGAAGCAUCUUGUUGCAAUAUGUCAAAUGCUGAACCCACAUAAGAUACAUCUGUCCAAUAUGCAUAAGUUUGCAGGCCCACAGAUACAUGCUACACAGUAUAGUUAGCUUAGAAAAGGAUGAUCUGUAGGUAGGUUGUCACUGACAUUUGAUCUCCUAUAGGUUUGUCAUGCUUACAGCCAUGUAUACAUUUUUGUGUUAACAAGAUGCUGAAUGAUAUUAUUUUUAUCGUAUUUAGCUUGGGAUUCAACUUAUGAUUUUGGACUGGCCAAGGAGCCAACCUUAGCUGAUUUUGGACUGGCCGAGGAGCCAACCACCCGAGGUGAAUGACUUCGGCCCUAGCCGAGGAUCCGACCAUCCGAGGUGAGCGACUUUGGCCCCGAUCGAGGAGCCCAUCAAUAUGUGUCAACAAUGACUGACAAUGCUAACAACCGACAGCCCUCGCAGCCUGCCGUCGUGGCAACACCAUAAUCUGCACCCGAUCAGUGCUACAUGCUGACCACACAAACUGAUUCCACACUAUAGCUGUACCACCUGUCGUUACUUGGCUAUCAGUGCAUGCCACGUUAGUUCAGAUAACGACAAAUCCGGCUCGCCUAUAUAAAGGGGGACCUGUGGGACCUCAGAAACUCUCCGGCAAGUAAACUUUUUGCAAGCCAUCCAUGAAGGAGACCGACGCCCGACGCCACCACCAAUCUGGUCAGCUUAUCUCCGGCCGACUUUA